AGUUAACUAGUUUCAUCUCCCUCUGGAGACAUUGUUAGAAGGUCAGAACUCAUCUGACGAUGUCUCCAGGAGGAGAUGAAACUAGUUAACU
rnacentral:miRNA from 1 species